rnacentral:rRNA from 1 species
UCUAAUACCGGAUACBASCCUCCDAGGCAUCUUGGRGGUUGGAAAGCUCCGGCGGUGAAGGAUGAGCCCGCGGCCUAUCAGCUUGUUGGUGAGGUAAUGGCUCACCAAGGCGACGACGGGUAGCCGGCCUGAGAGGGCGACCGGCCACACUGGGACUGAGACACGGCCCAGACUCCUACGGGAGGCAGCAGUGGGGAAUAUUGCACAAUGGGCGAAAGCCUGAUGCAGCGACGCCGCGUGAGGGAUGACGGCCUUCGGGUUGUAAACCUCUUUCAGCAGGGAAGAAGCGCAAGUGACGGUACCUGCAGAAGAAGCGCCGGCUAACUACGUGCCAGCAGCCGCGGUAAUACGUAGGGCGCAAGCGUUGUCCGGAAUUAUUGGGCGUAAAGAGCUCGUAGGCGGCUUGUCACGUCGAUUGUGAAAGCCCGAGGCUUAACCUCGGGUCUGCAGUCGAUACGGGCUAGCUAGAGUGUGGUAGGGGAGAUCGGAAUUCCUGGUGUAGCGGUGAAAUGCGCAGAUAUCAGGAGGAACACCGGUGGCG